GGACAGUAAUGGGGGAGGGCAUCGGGUUCAUCUAGGUGGUACACGUGACCUUGAGCUACAAGCCUGGCCACGUCCUUCGGCCGCUGAGGGCAGUCCUUUAUAAGAUGUUUGAUGCUUCUGCACCGAUAGCAAGCGUGAUUGAUAUGCCAAAAUUGUACAUCGCCAUGCGAGCAACCACAAUGCUGAUAUGGUUGGCGAGGUCGGGCAGGCUAUCCAGUAGGUGGAGGUAGGGCAGGGAGAAAGGCAACUCAGAUUCAUUUAUUGGGGUGACUACUUACUGGGUCAGGCAAUCUUCUUCUAGGUUGUUGGGGUUGUAGUUAUUGGGUACGAACUGGGCAAUGCGCUGAUGCCUGACCGAGAUGAGAUCUUCGGCUAAUUGGGCAUGUUAUAGCAUCGCAAUUGAAUAAUAGAUAUCGGUACGAAGGUCUUUUAGGAACUUU
rnacentral:lncRNA from 1 species